rnacentral:rRNA from 1 species
GAUGAACGCUGGCGGCGUGCCUAACACAUGCAGGUCAAGCGAUUCUCUUCGGAGAAGAGCGGCGGACGGGUGAGUAACGCGUGGGUAACCUGCCUCAUACACAUGGAUAACAUACCGAAAGGUAUGCUAAUACAAGAUGAUAUAAGAGAUUCGCAUGGAUUCCUUAUCAAAGCUCCGGCGGUAUGAGAUGGACCCGCGUCUGAUUAGCUAGUUGGUAAGGUAACGGCUUACCAAGGCGACGAUCAGUAGCCGACCUGAGAGGGUGAUCGGCCACAUUGGAACUGAGACACGGUCCAAACUCCUACGGGAGGCAGCAGUGGGGAAUAUUGCACAAUGGGCGAAAGCCUGAUGCAGCAACGCCGCGUGAGCGAUGAAGGCCUUCGGGUCGUAAAGCUCUGUCCUCAAGGAAGAUAAUGACGGUACUUGAGGAGGAAGCCCCGGCUAACUACGUGCCAGCCGCCGCUGUAA